UUGUCUCAAAGAUUAAGCCAUGCAUGUCUCAGUACAAGCCAAAUUAAGGUGAAACCGCGAAAGGCUCAUUAAAUCAGUUAUGGUUCCUUAGAUCGUACCCACAUUUACUUGGAUAACUGUGGUAAUUCUAGAGCUAAUACAUGCAAACAGAGCUCCGACCGGAAACGGAAGGUGCGCUUUUAUUAGAUCAAAACCAAUCGGUGGCGAGUGUUAACGCGCUCGUCAUCGUACAAUUUGGUGACUCUGAAUAACUUUUUGCUGAUCGCAUGGUCCAGCACCGGCGACGCAUCUUUCAAAUGUCUGCCUUAUCAACUGUCGAUGGUAGGUUCUGCGCCUACCAUGGUCGUAACGGGUAACGGGGAAUCAGGGUUCGAUUCCGGAGAGGGAGCCUGAGAAACGGCUACCACAUCCAAGGAAGGCAGCAGGCGCGCAAAUUACCCAUUCCCGGCACGGGGAGGUAGUGACGAAAAAUAACGAUACGGGACUCAUCCGAGGCCCCGUAAUCGGAAUGAGUACACUCUAAACCUUUUAACGAGGAUCAAUUGGAGGGCAAGUCUGGUGCCAGCAGCCGCGGUAAUUCCAGCUCCAAUAGCGUAUAUUAAAGUUGUUGCGGUUAAAAAGCUCGUAGUCGAAUUUGUGUCCCGCACCGCCGGUUCAUCGUACGCGGUGUUAACUGGCGUGCCGCGGGACGUCCUGCCGGUGGGCUUUAUCCGUAAGGAUUAUGGGCCCGACCAAAUCCCGCCGCGGUGCUCUUCAUUGAGUGUCGAGGUGGGCCGGCACGUUUACUUUGAACAAAUUAGAGUGCUUAAAGCAGGCUAAAACUUCGCCUGAAUACUGUGUGCAUGGAAUAAUGGAAUAGGACCUCGGUUCUAUUUUGUUGGUUUUCGGGACCCCCGAGGUAAUGAUUAAUAGGAACGGA
rnacentral:rRNA from 1 species